rnacentral:sRNA from 1 species
UGUUGGCGUACUUGUUCGACUCGCUGGU